GACGAACGCUGGCGGCGUGCUUAACACAUGCAAGUCGAACGGAGUGGCGAACGGGUGAGUAACACGUGGGUGACCUGCCCUGCACUUCGGGAUAAGCCUUGGAAAAGGGGUCUACUACCGAAUAAAGGGGGUUGGGCUCGCUGCCUAUCAGCUUGUUGGUGGGGUGAUGGCCUCCCAGGGCGGUGACGGGUAGCCGGCGUGAGAGGGUGACCGGCGACAUUGGGACUGGGAUACGGCCCAGACUGCGACGGCAGGAGGCAGUGGGGGAUAUUGCACAAUGGGCGAAAGCCUGAUGCAGCGACGCCGCGUGGGGGAUGUAGGCUUUCGAGUUGUAAGCCUCUUUCGCUAUCGACGCGGUAGGUGGAGAAGAAGCGCCGGCUAACUACGUGCCAGCAGCCGCGGUAAUAC
rnacentral:rRNA from 1 species